rnacentral:rRNA from 1 species
GCUGGGUGGAUUAGUGGCGAACGGGUGAGUAACACGUGAGUAACCUGCCCUUGACUCUGGGAUAAGCGUUGGAAACGACGUCUAAUACCGGAUACGAGCUUCCACCGCAUGGUGAGUUGCUGGAAAGAAUUUUGGUCAAGGAUGGACUCGCGGCCUAUCAGCUUGUUGGUGAGGUAACGGCUCACCAAGGCGACGACGGGUAGCCGGCCUGAGAGGGUGACCGGCCACACUGGGACUGAGACACGGCCCAGACUCCUACGGGAGGCAGCAGUGGGGAAUAUUGCACAAUGGGCGAAAGCCUGAUGCAGCAACGCCGCGUGAGGGACGACGGCCUUCGGGUUGUAAACCUCUUUUAGCAGGGAAGAAGCGAAAGUGACGGUACCUGCAGAAAAAGCACCGGCUAACUACGUGCC